rnacentral:rRNA from 1 species
GAUGAACGCUGGCGGUAUGCUUAACACAUGCAAGUCGAACGGACUCUUCGGAGUUAGUGGCGGACGGGUGAGUAACGCGUGAGAAUCUGGCUUUGGGUUCGGGACAACCACUGGAAACGGUGGCUAAUACCGGAUGUGCCGAGAGGUAAAAGAGAAAUUGCCUGAAGAUGAGCUCGCGUCUGAUUAGCUAGUUGGUGAGGUAAAGGCUCACCAAGGCAGCGAUCAGUAGCUGGUCUGAGAGGAUGACCAGCCACACUGGGACUGAGACACGGCCCAGACUCCUACGGGAGGCAGCAGGGGGGAAUUUUCCGCAAUGGGCGAAAGCCUGACGGAGCAGUACCGCGUGAGGGAAGAAGGCUCUUGGGUUGUAAACCUCUUUUCUUAGGGAAGAACAAAAUGACGGUACCUAAGGAAUCAGCAUCGGCUAACUCCGUG